rnacentral:rRNA from 2 species
UACAUAUCAAUAAGCGGAGGAAAAGAAACUAACAAGGAUUCCCUCAGUAACUGCGAGUGAAGUGGGAAAAGCUCAAAUUUAAAAUCUGGCAGUUUUUUUUAACUGUUUGAAUUGUAAUCUAGAGAAGUAUUAUCUGUUUUGGACCAUAUAUAAGUCUCCUGGAAUGGGGCAUCAUAGAGGGUGAGAAUCCUGUCUUUAAUAUGGACUGCCAGAAUAUUAUGAUAUGCUUUCAACGAGUCGAGUUGUUUGGGAAUGCAGCUCUAAAUGGGUGGUAAAUUCCAUCUAAAGCUAAAUAUUGGCGAGAGACCGAUAGUGAACAAGUACCGUGAGGGAAAGAUGAAAAGAACUUUGGAAAGAGAGUUAAACAGUACGUGAAAUUGUUGAAAGGGAAACGCUUAAAGUCAGUCACAUUGAUUAGAAAUCAAUCUUGCUUCUUUGCUUGAUGUAUUUUCUGAUUAAUACGUCAGUAUCAAUUUGAAUCAGUGGAAAAAGACAGAAAAAAUGUGGCAUCUUUUGAUGUGUUAUAGUUUUUUGUCAUAUACAUUGAUUUGAAUUGAGGAAUUCAGCAUGCUAUUAAGGCCGGGUUUUAAUCACGUUCAUGCUUAGGAUACUGGCAUAAUGGCUUUAAUCGACCCGUCUUGAAACACGGACCAAGGAGUCUAACAUACCUGCAAGUAUUUGAGUGACAAACUCAUAUGCGUAAUGAAAGUGAAAGUUGAGAUCUCUGUCAUGGAAAGCACCGACACCCAGACCAGAUCUUUUGUGACGGAUCUGUGGUUGAGCAUGUAUGUUGGGACCCGAAAGAUGGUGAACUAUGCCUGAAUAGGGUGAAGCCAGAGGAAACUCUGGUGGAGGCUCGUAGCGAUUCUGACGUGCAAAUCGAUCGUCGAAUUUGGGUAUAGGGGCCGAAAGACUAAUCGAACCAUCUAGUAGCUGGUCUCGC